UAGGGAAUCUUCGGCAAUGGACGAAAGUCUGACCGAGCAACGCCGCGUGAGUGAAGAAGGUUUUCGGAUCGUAAAACUCUGUUGUUAGAGAAGAACGUUGUGUAGAGUGGAAAAUUACACAAGUGACGGUAUCUAACCAGAAAGGGACGGCUAACUACGUGCCAGCAGCCGCGGUAAUACGUAGGUCCCGAGCGUUGUCCGGAUUUAUUGGGCGUAAAGCGAGCGCAGGUGGUUUAAUAAGUCUGAUGUAAAAGGCAGUGGCUCAACCAUUGUGUGCAUUGGAAACUGUUAGACUUGAGUGCAGUAGAGGAGAGUGGAAUUCCAUGUGUAGCGGUGAAAUGCGUAGAUAUAUGGAGGAACACCGGUGGCGAAAGCGGCUCUCUGGACUGUAACUGACACUGAGGCUCGAAAGCGUGGGUAGCAAACA
rnacentral:rRNA from 1 species